rnacentral:rRNA from 1 species
CAGCAGCCACGGGAAUACGUAGGGUGCGAGCGUUAAUCGGAAUUACUGGGCGUAAAGCGUGCGCAGGCGGUUCGUUAAGACAGAUGUGAAAUCCCCGGGCUUAACCUGGGAACUGCAUUUGUGACUGACGGGCUAGAGUAUGGCAGAGGGGGGUAGAAUUCCACGUGUAGCAGUGAAAUGCGUAGAGAUGUGGAGGAAUACCGAUGGCGAAGGCAGCCCCCUGGGCCAAUACUGACGCUCAUGCACGAAAGCGUGGGGAGCAAACAGGAUUAGAUACCCCCGUAGUCCCUGUCUCUUAUAC